rnacentral:rRNA from 1 species
UGAGGAAUAUUGCGCAAUGGGGGAAACCCUGACGCAGCGACGCCACGUGAGCGAUGAAGUCUUUCGGGAUGUAAAGCUCUGUCAAGAGGGAAGAUUAUGACGGUACCUCUAAAGGAAGCCCCGGCUAACUACGUGCCAGCAGCCGCGGUAAUACGUAGGGGGCGAGCGUUAUCCGGAUUUAUUGGGCAUAAAGAGCAUGUAGGCGGCAUUUUAAGUUAGAUGUUAAAUUUUUCAGCUCAACUGAAAGUAGCAUUUAAUACUGAAAUGCUAGAGAUCAGUAGAGGAAAGCGGAACUCACAGUGUAGCGGUGAAAUGCGUAGAUAUUGUGAGGAACACCAGUUGCGAAGGCGGCUUUCUAGCCUGAAUCUGACGCUGAGAUGCGAAAGCGUGGGGAGCGAACGGG